CAGAAAACCUGUCAAUAAGGCUACUUGCUGGUGAGAGCCCAGAAGGACAGGAAAGAGGAAAAAAAGGCAGACAGGAAAUACUUUCAGGUAUCUGACAACAAAGAACUGGUUCUGUACUUACAAUAGCAGUUGGAGUGGCAGCCAGAACGCAAUAGAGCACCAGAGGGCUGAUGAAGCUUUCCUCUUCCGUCCCCGGUGUCUUUCUGUUCAACCAAGGGUUGGCUUUAGAAUUUGAUUGGCAGGGUGAAGCAACAGAAGAAUUGUGAAAACAAGUUGCGACUCACAGAAAGGCCCUUUUGACGACAGCAUCUAUGAAACUGUGUAUUUAAGAGGAUUCCAAGGCCCAUUGGUAGACCCAGAUUCAGGACCUUUUGUACGUUAGUUAUUUUUCUUCUG